rnacentral:rRNA from 1 species
UACGUAGGUGGCAAGCGUUGUCCGGAUUUACUGGGCGUAAAGAGCGCGCAGGCGGUCGUAUAAGUCUGAUGUGAAAGCCCACGGCUCAACCGUGGAGGGUCAUUGGAAACUGGGGGACUUGAGUACAGAAGAGAAGAGUGGAAUUCACGUGUAGCGGUGAAAUGCGUAGAGAUGUGGAGGAACACCAGUGGCGAAGGCGACUCUUUGGUCUGUAACUGACGUGGAGGCGCGAAAGCGUGGGGAGCAAACAGG